GAAUUCAAAUGGUAGAGACAGGCAGAAGGCUUGAGGACACACUCUGAUGACGGCGGCAGUGGGGGAUAUGAGAUUAUUGCCACCCUCUGGAAUGACAACACAGGAACGCAGAAUUAUAAAUGGAGUAGUAAUAUGUUGUUACUGAUUGGUCAAUACAUUCUGAAUCAUGAAGCUGUGAUGGACACAUUUUCAAACCAAGUGCUUCAUGUAUAACACAAGCGCACCCAGCCACCACCGUUCUCUGCUGGCGUAAUGCCAGUGACUCAUACCAAUGGAGGAUUGGAUCCAUGAUCUCAUUCUUCCUCUAAAAUGGAGAUUCUGAAUUGCAUGGUCAUGCAAGCAACUUACUAAAGGAAGAUGUGGGUAUUUUCUUUUCUUUUUUGGAUGUUGUAUUCUAUUUUCUAUUAUGG